rnacentral:rRNA from 1 species
UACAGAGGCCUCGAGCGUUAGGCGGAAUCACUGGGCUUAAAGCGUGUGUAGGCGGAUGUCUAAGUGCUUUGUGAAAUCCCACGGCUCAACCGUGGAAUGGCUUGGCAUACUGGACGUCUUGGGCCACCUAGGGGCGAGCGGAACAGACGGUGGAGCGGUGAAAUGCGUAGAUAUCGUCUGGAACGCCUAUGGUGAAAACAGCUCGCUGGGGGUGAGCCGACGCUGAGACACGAAAGCCAGGGGAGCGAACGGG